GGAUAACGUAGGGAAACUUACCCUAAUACCGCAUACGACCUACGGGUGAAAGCAGGGGAUCUUCGGACCUUGCGCGAUUGAAUGAGCCGAUGUCGGAUUAGCUAGUUGGCGGGGUAAAGGCCCACCAAGGCGACGAUCCGUAGCUGGUCUGAGAGGAUGAUCAGCCACACUGGAACUGAGACACGGUCCACACUCCUACGGGAGGCAGCAGUGGGGAAUAUUGGACAAUGGGCGCAAGCCUGAUCCACCCAUACCGCGUGGGUGAAAAAGGCCUUCGGGGUGUAAAGCCCUUUUGUUGGGAA
rnacentral:rRNA from 1 species